rnacentral:tRNA from 1 species
GUUUUAAUAAUUUAAUAAAAAUAUUGAUUUUGUAAAUCAAAUUUAAAGAAAUUUUUAAAAUA